GGGGAUUGGGGCAUGGGGAGAGGCUCAGGGGUGCAGGCUCCAGGCAGCACUUACCUCAAGCGGGUCCCAGAAGUAGUGGCAUGUUUCCCUCUGGCUCCUACACGGAGGCGCAACCAGGCAUCUCUGCUGCAUGCUGCCCUGUCCAUAGGCACCGCCCCUGCAGCUCCCAUUGGCUGCGGUUUCUGGUCAGUGGGAACUGCGGGGGCAGCGCUUGGGACAGGGGCAGCAAGUGGAGCAGAGCUCUCUGGCUGCCCCAUGCAUAGGAGCCGGAGGGGGGACAUGACGUUGCUUCCGUGAGCCUCAUGGAGUGGCCCCCAAUCCUGCUUCCCAGCUGGAGCACCGGAGCAGGGUAAGCCCCAGAUCCUGCUCCCCAGUGGGAACUUGAGGGCCAGAUUAAAAUGGCUGGUGGGUCGGAUGCAGACCCUGGGCUAUAGUUUGCUCACCCGUGCUCUAGGCCCACAGACCACUACUAUGGCUGACACUUAAAGUGCUGUUUCAAAGCUUCCUUCAACUUCAUGUUUCUAUUGUGGGGUCUUGUAACGAACCAGGAGUCUGGCUGUUCAAAGUCAGUCAACAGCUGCUUUGCAUCUGCCCUCCACACUGGUGGCAGCUUUUCCCCCUUGGCCUCAUAGAUAUUAUGCAGGACACAAGAGGCAGCAAUAACCAUUGGGAUAUUUUUCUGACCUGAGCUCUGAACUUGUGAGUAGAUACUGCCAACAUCCCUUCAAUCUACCAAAAGCACAUUCAACUGUCAUUCUGCACCUACUGAGCUCGUAACUGAAUCUUUCCUUGGUGCUGUCCAGGUAGCCAGUGUAUAGCUUCAUGAGCAAGGGGUAGGUUGGAUCCUCUAGCAUCUUUAUUGGCAUUUCAAUAUCACUAGUGGUAAUUCACUGGCCAGGAAAGAAUGUCCCUACUUUCAGAUUUCUGAACAGCCAUGUAUUCUUAAAGAUAUAGGUGUCAUGCAUCUUCCCUGACCAACCAACACUGAUGUUGAUGAAGCAUCCCCAGUGAUUCACCUACACAUGCAAAACCAUAGAAAGGUUCCUUUUCUGUUGUACUUGGUAGGCUGGUGCCAAAAUAGAGAGCUGCAUGCUGUCUUAUCGCCCCACCACUGUUCAGGAACGCCCAUUGCUGCAAAUCCACCUGCUAUGUCCUGCCCGUUGCCAAGUGUCCCAGGCCUGCAUAGCAGGACAUAAUGUUUCUACGCACUUGCACAACAAUGGCCCUAUGUUGCAUUUUCCAACUCUAAAAUGAUUUCUCAUUGACCAGUAGCAAUCUGGUAUUGCAAGCUUCCUGCGUGUGAUCACCACUGGCUUCUUCAUUGCUGAUGCAGCUCUCAUUCUGCUGUCCAUGCACUGAAGGUCUUGGGUGAACUCCGUGCAUAGAUCCAGUCAUAUGGCCUUGUGCAUCCCAAAGUUCUACAGCCACUGUGCAUUGUCCCAAACCUGCAUUAUGAUAUGAUUCUGCCAGUCAGUGCUUUUUUCUCAGGUCCAGAAGCAGCACUCCAUCAUCUGUAGCUGUUCUGUGAAUGCUACCAACAAUCUUGCAUUGUUCUUCACUAUGUCUCUCAGCAAACUAUCCUCAAAGAAAUUCUCAUGUUCCUGGUUAUUGUACUUCCUGAAGGUCUUCAAAUGCAGGGGAAGUGUGUGUCCUGUAUUUGCAACAUUCACGAGAACAGUAUAGAGCUUUGUGGACUCCGUGCUUCAGCCAGAGAUGGCAGAGACUGAGAAGUGUCAUGCAAGUUUGCAGGGGGAGGCGUUUGAAAAUUAUGGGCUCUGGAUGGCAGGAUGGGAUGGAGAAAGUUACCUGCUGGGAACUUGACCCCAGCAUUGCGCCAGAUGGCAGAGCAUGGCACAUUGGAAUACGUUCCCAUAGUGCAUUGCACUUUGCAUCGACACAAGUGUGCCUGACUAACAUGGCUACCACUCUGAAAUCUGUCACCAAAUAAUUCAGGAAUACAGUGCUGCAGAACACAAGGAAAAUGUGUGUCUUGACUUGGACUCAUUGCAUUUGCUAGAUCUGAGUAUCCUUUCACUGCGAACACUUCCACUGACUGGGCUCUCUUUGAGUGGGUUUUGAAGGGGACUUUCUGAGAAAAGGCUAAGCAUGCUGGAAAUAAAAACACUGAGAGGAAAUUCCUUUUCCUUCACACACUCUACACUAGCUGGAGCAGCAAGUUACAGUGCACAAUGUGAGACAUGCUGCAGUGCUGUGCACUUUGUAAUGAGAGCUGGCACUGAAACUCACUCUGAUCACUGACUUUUGUGUUCUCUCAUCGGAUAAGUUGCAGUAAAGGAAGCAAAGGUUGUCAUCAGCAGGCUCCAGCCUGAGCCUGAAUGUCUACGCUGCAGUUAAACAGCCCAUUAACGUGAGCCCCACAACUGUGAGUCAACUGGCAUGGACCCGCCCUGGGUGUUUAAUUGCCGUGUAGACAUUCCCAGGAUUCUGAAAGGAAAAUCUCUCCCAAGACAGUUAAUGUUGUUUUCUGUCUUUGCUUUAAGCACAUUUCACUCUCAUUCCUGCAAAAUGGGAGGAGGCGAGAAGGACAGCUUGUGCCAGCAAAACUUGUCAUUUUUCCCGAGAAACUCCUUUUCAUCACUUUUAUGUUGCUCACUUGCAGUGGAGUGAUUUCAUCCUGGGUAUAUCUCUGGCACUUUGCAGCAAAAGGCUGGGUAAGGCAUCGUUAUCAGUUCACUUCGUAGUCACUGGUCCCUGUGAUUCAGACCCAACCAAGAUCAUGACCCCAUUGUGCUAGACCCUGUACACACUUAGAGCCUAUAUGAGCUUGCUAGCAAAAUAGAAAAGGCAGACAAAGGUUACAAAAGGGAUCUAACAUACAAGCAGAGUGAAUAGUGUGAUGAUUGCAAAUGUCAGGCUCGCUCCACUAUCUUUUGUUCUUGUUGACUUGUUUCUUUUCUGUUUCUUUGGGUGAAGUCUUGCUGGGGAGGAAUUAGCAAAGCCGACAAAGGGAAAGAGCGAGAUGUUGAAGGGAAGAAAGGAAUGAAAAAGGAGGAAAGGAAUUGGAGGGUGGAAGGCAGGUGUGCAGUGAGGCUGAGGUGAAGGGACUGUGAAGAUGGGGAUGGGAGGGAGGUGGAGCAAACAGCCAGUCAGCAGAGAAGGGAGGCAUCUAUUUUGUGUAUAUGCCCAUAUUUUCGCUGCCCAAUCCCGUGUUUGU